rnacentral:sRNA from 1 species
GAUGCCAGGGGCAAAAGGUCAUAAACCACGUUGUGCUUGCACAUAAGUGGUUUUAUGACUUGUUGACCCACCCAAAAUGAGGAUAAAAGUGGGACGUAUGUCUCGCGAUAUCCGAAUUUUGGGCAGGAUUGUGGGAGUGCGUAGCACGGAACAAUCCGUAUG